AUGUGUGAAGCCAUUGGGAGGUUUGGCCCUGGAUUUGAGCCGCCAUCUAAACAUGACCUUCGAGAGACUUUGCUGAGUGAGGAACAUGCAAGAGUGAAGAGUUUGCUGCAAGAACGUGAUGCUGAAAAGAUGAAGAAUGGCUACUCCAUUAUGACUGAUGCUUGGUCAGAUAGGAAGAGGAGAGGCAUAAUGAACUUGUGCACAAACAGUGAUGAUGGUUCUAGUUUUAUAAGGUCGAGUGAGAUGUCGGCUGUAUCGCACACAAGUGAAGUCAUCUUCCAAUUAGUGGAUGAAGCAAUUGAAGAAGUAGGUCAUGAAAAUGUGGUCCAAGUAGUGACUGAUAAUGCUUCUAAUAACAUGGGGGCAAAGAAGAUGUUGUUGGAGAAGCAGCCGAACAUGUUUUGGAGAUCUUGUGCGACACACACCAUUAGCUUGAUGUUGCAAGGAAUUGGCGGUCUGCCAAGGUUUAGUAAGGUACUUGAAAAAUCAAAAGCAUUCACUAUCUUUGUCUAUGGGCACACACGGACGUUGGACUGCAUGAGACACUUCUCUUCAGGGAAAGAAAUCAUAAGGCCAGGGGUCACUAGGUUUGCUUCUGCUUAUCUAACUUUGGAAAGCCAUCUAGACAAAAAGGAUCAACUGUGGAAGAUGGUGGUUGAUGGUAGAUGGGACAAACUAAGAGAAGUUAAAUCAAAAAAGGGAAAGAUAGCAACAGCUACGAUGAUGAGCAUGUCUUUUUGGAAAGAUUUGAAGCUUUGCCUGAAUGUCUUUGAGCCUUUGGUAAAAAUCCUUCGUUUGGUUUAUGGGGAUGUCAAGCCAUCUAUGGGUUUUGUCUAUGGAGAAAUAGUGAAGGCAAAGCAAGAGAUCAAGGAAGUCUAUGGCAAUGUGGAGUCACGUUACAAAGAUGUGAUUAAUAUUGUUGAGAAAAAGAUGAAAGAUCGACUUGACUCUCCGUUGCACUUGGUUGCAUACUUACUGAAUCCUUAUUAUAGCUAUGCUGAUACUAAUAUUUUUGAUGAUGGGACAAUAACCGAAGGAUUCAUUAGCUGUGUGGAGACCUUUUAUUAUGGUGAUGAUGAAAAGCAAGAUCAAGCUGUCAAUUUUGAAUUAAAGAGAUUCCAGAAUAGAGAAGGAUCAUUUGCAAAGAAGCUUGCGAGGAGUUGUCAGAAUUUUGAUUAUAAUGCAGCAUCUUGGUGGAGGCUCUAUGGAACUGAAGCACCAGCUCUACAAAGGAUCGUUGUGAGAAUCCUCUCAUUGACCUCAAGUUCUUCGGUCUGUGAAAGGAAUUGGAGUACCUUCGAAAAUAUUCAUACAAAGAAAAGAAAUAGGCUAACUACGGAACGUCUAAACUCUCUUGUGUUCAUACAAUUCAACUCGAGAAUGAUGGCCAAGAAACAAAUGAUCAAGGAGAAGAAGAUCAUUGAUGUCCUCUUAUCCACUGAAACUACCGAAGCUCAAGGUUUUCUUUUUGAGGGCGGAGAUGAUUAUGCAGAAGUCAUCUAUAGGGAUGAUGAUGAGGAGGAGAUGGAUAGUACAGGGAUGCCAGGGAGUGGCAUUGGAGAAGCGAUGGGAGGCAAUGAACUGCUCGAGCCACAUAGAAGUGCGAGACUAAGACAACUUUAUGAAGAAGAAGAAUUCGAUUCUGAAGAAGAGGAGUUUGAUGAUGCUGAGGAGAUGCAUUCAGAUGAGGAGCAUGACUAUUGA
rnacentral:rRNA from 1 species